rnacentral:rRNA from 1 species
CGGACGGGUGAGUAAUACUUAGGAAUCUACCUAGUAGUGGGGGAUAGCUCGGGGAAACUCGAAUUAAUACCGCAUACGACCUACGGGAGAAAGGGGGCAACUUGUUGCUCUCGCUAUUAGAUGAGCCUAAGUCGGAUUAGCUAGAUGGUGGGGUAAAGGCCUACCAUGGCGACGAUCUGUAGCUGGUCUGAGAGGAUGAUCAGCCACACCGGGACUGAGACACGGCCCGGACUCCUACGGGAGGCAGCAGUGGGGAAUAUUGGACAAUGGGGGCAACCCUGAUCCAGCCAUGCCGCGUGUGUGAAGAAGGCCUUUUGGUUGUAAAGCACUUUAAGCAGUGAAGAAGACUCCGUGGUUAAUACCCAUGGACGAUGACAUUAGCUGCAGAAUAAGCACCGGCUAACUCUGUGCCAGCAGCCGCGGUAAUACAGAGGGUGCAAGCGUUAAUCGGAAUUACUGGGCGUAAAGCGAGCGUAGGUGGCUUGAUAAGUCAGAUGUGAAAUCCCCGGGCUUAACCUGGGAACUGCAUCUGAUACUGUUAGGCUAGAAUAGGUGAGAGGAAGGUAGAAUUCCAGGUGUAGCGGUGAAAUGCGUAGAGAUCUGGAGGAAUACCGAUGGCGAAGGCAGCCUUCUGGCAUCAUAUUGACACUGAGGUUCGAAAGCGUGGGUAGCAAACAGGAUUAGAUACCCUGGUAGUCCACGCCGUAAACGAUGUCUACUAGUCGUUGGGUCCCUUGAGGACUUAGUGACGCAGCUAACGCAAUAAGUAGACCGCCU